CAUGAAGUUGGAUUCGCUGUAAUCGCGCAUCAGCCAUGGCGCGGUGAAUACGUUCCCGGGCCUUGUACACACCGCCCGUCAAGCCAUGGGAGCCGGGGGUGCCUGAAGUUCGUUACCGCAAGGAUCGACCUAGGGCAAAACUGGUGACUGGGGCUAAGUCGUAACAAGGUACC
rnacentral:rRNA from 1 species